rnacentral:rRNA from 1 species
UACGUAGGGUGCAAGCGUUAAUCGGAAUUACUGGGCGUAAAGCGUGCGCAGGCGGUUAUGCGAGACAGAUGUGAAAUCCCCGGGCUCAACCUGGGAACUGCAUUUGGGACUGCAAGGCUGGAGUGCGGCAGAGGAGACUGGAAUUCCUGGUGUAGCAGUGAAAUGCGUAGAUAUCAGGAGGAACACCCGUGGCGAAGGCGGCCAUCUGGACCAGCACUGACGCUGAGGCACGAAAGCGUGGGGAGCAAACAGG